rnacentral:lncRNA from 1 species
UUUUUUGCUUUCCUUAUAUCUGUCUGAAGGACCCCCUCCCCCACUCAACCCCAAACCCUAGAGAACCCUUCCACAACUCACCUCCUUCAUCUCUAUCACCGUAGCCGUCGCCGCCGCCAGAAAUCACACCACGACGACAGUCCGUCAUCAAAUAACCCCAAACACACACUCCACAUUCCCCAUACACCAUUGAUUUCCCCAAAAUCCCCAUUCAUUUUUGUUAAUUUCAAAUAUGAAAUUUAAAAAAAAAAAACUAAGUUGCUUCUAACCUGAUUUUUAUGUGUUCAAGACUCGAUUUGAAUCAACAAUUGCGUUAACCGAUUGUUCUUGUUAAGAACAAUUGACUAAUGUUAGUCUUGGCUCAUUCGAACAUCGCGGGAUUCCAACCAAGUCACCAUUGACCAGCAAAAUUUCGACCCUUUUAUCAUUUGUCGAGUCGAUCUGAUUCGUCGAUUCAUUCCGGCAAAAAUUGGUACUUCCUCUUUUUUUCCCUCUUAAUUUGAUUAUAUAUAUAUAUANNNNNNNNNNNNNNNNNNNNNNNNNNNNNNNNNNNNNNNNNNNNNNNNNNNNNNNNNNNNNNNNNNNNNNNNNNNNNNNNNNNNNNNNNNNNNNNNNNNNNNNNNNNNNNNNNNNNNNNNNNNNNNNNNNNNNNNNNNNNNNNNNNNNNNNNNNNNNNNNNNNNNNNNNNNNNNNNNNNNNNNNNNNNNNNNNNNNNNNNNNNNNNNNNNNNNNNNNNNNNNNNNNNNNNNNNNNNNNNNNNNNNNNNNNNNNNNNNNNNNNNNNNNNNNNNNNNNNNNNNNNNNNNNNNNNNNNNNNNNNNNNNNNNNNNNNNNNNNNNNNNNNNNNNNNNNNNNNNNNNNNNNNNNNNNNNNNNNNNNNNNNNNNNNNNNNNNNNNNNNNNNNNNNNNNNNNNNNNNNNNNNNNNNNNNNNNNNNNNNNNNNNNNNNNNNNNNNNNNNNNNNNNNNNNNNNNNNNNNNNNNNNNNUAUAUAUAUAUAUAUAUAUAUAUAUAUAUAUAUUCUCAUCAUUUUGAUCAUGUUUCUUUGUUAUUGCAAUUGAUCUUAAUUUUUAGGGCCGCUGAAUUUUAUUGGUUAGUGGCAAACAUUUAGGGUUAAUUUUUAAAAACCAUUUAUAUAUUCAUCAUUUUGAUCAUGUUUCUUUGUUAUUAGAAUUAAUCCUAGUUUUUUAGGGCCGCUGAAUUUUAUUGGUUUAGUGGCAAACGUUUAGGGUUAAUUUUUAGAAACCAUUUAAUUCAGGAUUACUUCUUGUUUUGGUGUUGAUUAUUGAUUUGAAUUUGGCUGAUGUCUUGAGCUUAUUUUAUUCUAAUUUGGAUUUUGUGGUUGUGAGCAUUUGAUUUUUUUUCCCUAUUCAAAAUACUCCUAUAAAAUCAAAGAAAGAGAUUUUUUUUCCAAUUAUUUGUCAUUUUAGAGGAUUUUUUUAGGAUUUUGUUAAUUGUUUAUAUUUUUGUGCACGUUAUAUUUUUAUAAAUAAAUCAUGGAAAAUGGCGUAAAAAUAUCAAAAAUACCAUGUAUUCUAUUUAUAUUUUAUUUUCAUAAUUUAAGGAUUAAUUAGAUAAUUAAUUGCUUUAUCAAAAUAAAAAUCAGAAAAAUUGGCUCAGUUUUACAUUUCAGCUUUUAAGUUUAGAUAAGUAAUUUUUCUUUUUUAAUUUAGGAUCAACUAAUCAUCAUAAAUAGUAUAAUUAGAUAAUAAGCUUAAUUUUAUUAAUUAGAUUAAUAUAGGAUUUUUAUUAAAGAAAAGAAAAAAAAAGAAAACCAAGAAAAAGAAAUAAGAAAAGAAAUUAGAAAAAGGAAAAGGGCCUAAUUCGAAAUUGGGAAAAUUUUUAAUCCCAAACCUGUCCAAAAUCCAGCACACUCCCAAGCCGACCUGAUCCAGUUCCCACCUCCUAAAACGACCUCGUUUCACCAUAUCCCAAUCAAAACUAUUGGAUCCCAAUGAUCCAAUAGCUCGGACCUAGGCACCCCCUUUUGUAUAAUACUGUCCUAACAUAUAUCCCCCCCCAUCGAACCCUUUCAUUUGAUCUCCCUCCUCUAAACAAAUCAAAUCCUAGACGCCCUCAUAUUCCACACCGCCUCGGCCGCUAACCACCCGCCGAAAAUCGCCUCACGGUGGCGCCGGUGCUCCAAAUCCCUCAAUUUAACAACGUGUGAUCCUGAUCCUUUUCCCAACACCAUCCCACUAUCACCUUUCCCAAAAUCCCCACCAGAAUCCAUUAAUUUCAGAUCUAAUAUCAAAGCCUAAAAACAUUAAGUCUCCAAAACAACCUAAACUCAUACCCCAUGACCUCCCCUCCCCCGAAUCUUUAAUCCCUUAUUGAUUUCCCCAGACAAACCUACAAAAUCCUACAAUUCCAAAUCUAAAAGAGUUUUGUUGGUUCAAAGAAAAGCUCUCGAUUUUUCUGUUCCAUCAGUGUUCGAGUCCCAAGCUUGUUCUCUAGUGUUUGUUUCGCGGACUAGGCUUUCAGGAGUCUUUUCUUUCAAGGAGAUAUGGCCAAAAUCCAUGCAAGACCGGAUCCCUUUAAGGAAAAUACCAAUGUUGGUCAUUCAAGGAGGAGAAGGAGAUCACAGACUGUCUUGGCUACCUUUUAUUCCCGAAAUGGUAAGGUCUCACCAUUUACCUCUCCAUUUUCUUUCUUCACAUUCGUGUUAGUUAACUUUUUAUUUUGUUUCUCAGUUUGUUAAUCUGAUUGUUUUUCAUUUGAGAUUCGACCCUAUUUCAAUCUUUGAUCGUGUUCAAACCAGUUUCUUCGGGGUUUAUUAACUUAGUUUAAUUCAUGAUUCAAUUAGUUUAACUCUUGUAAUGACCCAACUGGUCGUUUUUCAUUUUAGAACCACAUUCCCUUAAAUAAAAUUUCCCGCACUUGCUUUAGCUAAUUUAUAACUUGCGAGGACGAUUGGUUCGGGAGAUAGAAGAGUUUUGAGUUAAUUAUGUCCAUUUGUUCCCUUGGAAUUCUUUUAAAAGACCAAGUUUGAUAUCGGUCAACAUUUAGGGAAAACGGACUCAGAUUCGUGAUUUGAUGAUCCCGAAAGGUCCGUAGAAAAAUAUAGGACGUGGGCGUAUGUCCGAAGUCGAAUUCUGAGGUCCCUAGCACUAGUAAUAAAUUUUUAUUUAAAAUAAUUAAGUUAAAAUUUUAAAGAAUUAAAGAAAACUAAGUAAUCAUUGAUUUCCUAGGUAUCGGGCUUGGAUUUCUAUUCCGAAGCUUGGUACAGGUUUGUAAUGUUGAUUAAGACUUGCUCGUAAAAUUUGGUGCCAAUUCGAGUAGUCUAAGGGCGUUUUGACCCGUUAGCAUAGAAUUAGGAACUUGAAGUUCUAUGGUCUAAGGGUGAUUCAAUAGUUCUGCCUCGUGAUUUCAGACUUGUCGGCAUGUUCGGUCGAGCUUGGGGGCCCCGAGCAUCAAACGAGCAAGGUUAGAGCGAAAUGGGAAUAUUGAAAAAUAGCCGAGGAAUUGUUGCUUCUGUCAUAACUGCAUGACUGCAUCUGUGGUUAUUGGACCGCAGAUGCAGUCAAAACAUCGCAGAAGCGGCCAAGGGCCAGGACAAGGGAAAUCACAAAAGCGGCCCAGAAACCGCAAAAGUGGUUCCUCUUAAGCGAUCAGAAGACCAAAGCACCGGUCUAAUCGCCUUAGGCCUGCUCUACAGAAGCAGCCCCAAAUCAGAUGAAGCGGUUCUGCAGAAGCAGGACUUAGACCGCAUAACUGGUCCAACCAUAUUGGGCCAGAACCACGAAAGCGAGCCCUGUGCCGCAGAAGCGGUCCUUCCACUGCAGAAGCGGAAAACGAUGGGCAGUGGUUUCAUUUAAUUCGAACUCAAAGGCCAUUUAUUUCAUUUUUACCCCACACUUGGGCGAUUUGGGGGCUUCCAAAGAGAUAAUUUCAACCUUUCAUCGUAAGGUAAGUAAUUUCCAUUCAUCCUUAGUUGAAAUACAAAUACAUUAGGUAAAUUCAACAACAAAAAUUAGGUAGAAUCAAAAGGUUAGUGCUAGACCUAGGGUUUUAAUAUAAAUAAGAUUUAGUCAUGAAAUUUGUUAUGAAAUAAAUUAGAAAUCAUAUAUUAUUGAUCCUUAGGUAGUAGAGAACAAUUCCCUUCGAAAAUUCUCAAAAUCCGGGCAUGUGGGCCCACGGUCGAAAUUUAGGAAAUCUAUGUAAAUGGAUGGGGAAUUGCUUAAAUAGGUAGGAAUUGAUCUUGUGAGCCAAUAAUAAUUAUAUUUUUCUCAUUUUAACGAGUUUGGGAUUAUUCGGCUUUGAAGUAAGGACUUGGGCUCAUUCUUGGCAAUUUGAGGUGUACUUUGAAGUGAGGUAUGUCUCAUUUCUAUCCUCGUAAGACGAAAUUUUCCCCAUAGGUAUAAUAAUUUAAUAAAUUGCCUUUAUAUAUGGGGGCUACGUACGUACUAUGUGACGAGAGUCGGUGCGUGGCAACUUAUAUGCUAAGUCCGAGUUGAGCCCAAAAAUAUGUUCUACGUGAUAUUCUUGUGACUUGAUGUUAAAAUCCGAAAUUUGUAUGAUUGAGUUAGUCCUGGCUACUAUAAAUUCUCCUCAUUUUACUUGACCCCAGUAAGUAUCAAGUCGACCUCUCAUCUCUACUUCUUCGAGAUUUGACGGGAUACUUACUGGUACAUAUUGUUUAUGUACUCAUGCUACACUUAUGUACUUAAAUGUAAAGGAUCUGAUCUGGUUAUCAUUCUGGUGCACAUCUAUGAGCGGUCAUAGGACUUUUACGGUGAGCUGCUUUCCUUCCAUGCUGACCCGUAGCUGAAGAAGUCUUCCCUUGGUACUUUCGUUUUCCGUCUUUCCUGAUUAAGACAAUAGGAUAGUGUGAUAUUCUUUUGUGUAUAUUCUACUAGCUGCCCGUACCUUGUGACACCGGGUUCUAGCAUACAUAUUAAUAGACUUAUUUUUAGGGUUGUAUUAUUAUGCUACCUACACUUCUUAUCGCAUUGGUUUUAAGUCCAAUUUGGAGUAUUCAUCUCAGUUGAAUUUUGAUGAUGUUCACAUAAAAAGUUAGAAAUGAUUUAUGCACUUUGCUUACCCGACAAUAGUGUCGGGCGCCUUCAUGACCUAUUAUUGAAAUGGGUCGUGACAACAUGGUAUCAGAGCACUAGGUUAACGUAGGUCUCACGAGUUAUGGGCAAACCUAAUCGAGUGUUGUAGAUCGGUAUGGAGACGUCUGUAUUUUUUUCCGAGAGGCUAUAGGGUAUUAGGAAAGACUACUCUUUAUUCACUUCCCAUCCUGCAGUGGUAAGUAUUCUAAAUUUCCCUCUUCUAUUCUCUCACAGAUGGUGAGGACUCGUAUCCCUGACUUUCCGCUCCAGGAGGGGCUACUCCCCCCAUUGCUAGAGGCCGAGAUAGAGGCCGGGGGAGGGCACCGUCCCGUGGUAGGGGAUGAGGGCAUUCUAGUUGCACCACCACCAGGUCCUGCGAGGGAUUCGAUCAUUGAGGAGCAGGGCGAGGUGCCCGCAGUGGAGCCUACCCUAGUGGAUUUCAUGAUAGCACCAGGAUUUCAGAAGGUCAUGGGCCGCAUGCUAUGGUUCAUGGACACUAUGACUGGGGCUGGUUUAUUUCCGGCAGACCCAGUUGCUUCACAUGAAGGAGGGGGAGCCCAGUUCCCUACUGCUCAGGUUCCAGGUCAUGCAGCCGCAGUAUAUCAGGUCUAGGUGCAUUGCCCAUAGAUGGGGCUCAGCCAGUUGCUGCAUUGGCACCCCAGCACAAGCCAGUUGUGGAUGGCAAUCCGCUGAAGUUAUUGGACAGAUGGACCAGGCUUAACCCUCCAAUAUUUGGGGGUGAGUUUCAUGAGGAUGCCCAUGACUUCAUUGACAGGUGCAGGGACAGAAUGCACGACAUGAGGAUAUUGGAGUCGCAUGGAGUUGACUUUACUAUUUUUCAGCUUAAGGGCAGAGCCUGGAGAUGGUGGCAGUCCUAUGAACUUGGCAGGCCAGCAUGUUUUCCUCCCCUCACCUGGGGUCAGUUCACACAGUUAUUCCUGAAUCGAUACAUUCCACCCUCGGAGAGGGAAGAAAUACAGUAUCAAUUUGAAUAUCUAUUGCAGGGUUAGAUGUUAGCGACUGAUUAUGAGGCGAGGUUCUCUGAGUAGUCUUGCCAUGCACUCAUGAUACUUCCCCCAAAGGUAGAGUGUUGCGGGGUUACACCCCACUAUCCAAUCUGGUAUAGCUCGAGAGGUAGAGAUGGGCACGGGGUAUCAUCUAGUGAUUAAGAUUGCCAACAAGUUUGAGGGUUACCGUCUGAAGGGUAGAGAACAGAUGCAGUAGGACAAGAGGGCCUGAUUUUUUGAAGAGUUGAGAGGUUCCCCAGCUAGGCGUAGAGGACAUUUCGGGAUGGGUCAUCCCAGUAGGCCCCCAUAUCCAGCACCGCAACCCCUUCCCCGAGGUGGCCCAGCUAAUCCUUAUUUCAGUCCGAUGUCGGAGAGUUCUUAUCCCACUAGCCAUUCACGGCACUUCCGGUGGGUAUUUUGGUAAUCAGGGUUCCUCCACUGCUUAUUUCAGCAUUAUGCGAGAGAGUUCGUAUCGCCCACCGGUUACCUAGAGGUCUUCUAGUCGGUAUUCAGGUCAGCAGGCUCAGACUUCAAGGCAUCAGGCUAUGGUGCCACGGGGAAGUUACGAGUGUGGAGAACCGGGUCAUAUGAAGCAGACUUAUCCUAAACUUUGGGGCAAGGCAGUGCAGCAGGGUCAGUAACCCAUGAUUCCAGUACUAGCUACCCAACCACCUAGAGGUAGAGGGCAGACUAGUAGAGGCCAUCCUAGAGGAGAAGGCCAGACAGGGAGAGGUCGGCACACUGUUGCUCAGUCAGGUGGAGGCCAGCCAGCCGGCACUCCUGCUACGUUAUAUGCUCUUCCAACCAGUCCAGAUGAACUGGCCUCAGAUGCCAACAUCACAGGUAUUAUUUACGUCGGUGGUAGGGAUACUUCAUUAUUAUUUGACUCGGGGUCUAUUUAUUCAUAUGUAUCAUCCUUGUUUGCUCAUUUCUUGGUUAUUUCUCCUGAGCCAUUGGGUGUUCUUGUUCAUGUGUCCACUCAUAUGGGCGAUUCUGUGGUUGUGGAUCAGAUCUAACGGUCGUCUAUAGUCACUUUCUAUAGUUUCGAGACUAGAGCAGAUCUUUUGUUGCUUGAUAUGAUCAAUUUUGAGGUCAUCCUGGGCAUGAAUUAGUUAUCUCCAUAUCAUGUCAUCAUCGAUUGCCAUUAUAAGACCAUUUCACUAGUUAUGCAAACGUUGCUGAGAUUGGAGUGGAAGGGUUCCAUAGUUGAUACGCCUAGCAUGGUUAUUCUUUUCCUUAAGGCUCGGCACAUGGUCGAGAAAGGGUGUUUGGAUUAUCUAGCUUAUGUUCAUGAUGUUAUCACAGAGUCUCUGACAAUCGAUUCAGCACUAGUAGUCCGAGAGUUUGUUUUUCCUUCUGAUUUUAAUGGCAUGCCUCUGGAUCGUGUUUUUGAUUUCUAUAUCAAUUUGGCUCCAGGCACUCAACCUAUAUCUAUUCCACCGUACCGUACGGCUCUUAAGGAUUUGAAGGAGUGGAAGGACGGCUAGAGGAGUUUUUAAAAAAGGGGUUUGUUAGGCCAAGUGUAUCGCCUUGUGGUGCACCAGUGUUAUUUGUGAAGAAGAAGGAUGGGACUUUGCGGAUGUGCAUUGAUUAUCGCAAGUUGAACAAACUCACCAUCAAGAACAAGUAUCUGUUGUCUCUUAUUGAUGAUUUGUUUGACCAGCUGCAAGGUGCUAGGGUGUUGUCUAAGAUUAACUUGAGGUCGGGGUAUCAUCAACUGAAUAUUCGGGACUCAGAUGUUUCGAUGACUACAUUCAGGACUAGACAUUGCCAUUAUAAGUUUCUUGUGAUGUCAUUUGGCUUGACUAAUACCCCAGAGGUAUUUAUGGACUUGGUGAACAUAGUGUUAAAGCCUUAUAUUGACUCCUUCGUUAUUGUCUUCAUUGACGACAUCUUGAUAUACUCACGUAGCCUGCGGAGCACGAGCAACAUUUGAGAGUAGUUCUUUAGACCUUCCGAGCGCAUAAGCUAUAUGCUAAAUUCUCCAAGUGUGAGUUUUUGCUACAGACAGUGGCAUUCUUAUGGCAUUUCAUGUCAGGAGAUUGUAUUAAGGUUGAUCCAAAGAAGAAUGAGGCAGUUCAGAGUUGGUUGCGUCCUACUUCAGUGAUCGAGAUCAGGAGCUUCCGAGGAUAAGCAGGUUACUAUCGGCGAUUUAUGCAGGGCUUUUCAUCCAUUGCAUCACCUUUGCCCAGAUUGACCCAGAAGGGUGCCCCAUUUCGUUGAUCCAUUGAUUGUGAGGAUCAGGGAUUUAUACGGUAUAUUGCAACACUUCACGCGUUGGCUGGGGAUACGUAUUGAUGCAAGAGGGGCGAGUAAUUGCAUAUGCUUUGCGUCAGCUAAAGGUUCAUGAGAAGAAUUACCAUGUGCAUGAUCUAGAGUUGGCAGUGAUUAUUCGUUCUCUUAAGAUAUGGAGGCUUUAUUUCAUGGUUGUCAUGUGAGGUCUAUACCGACCAUCGUAGCUUACAACAUUUUUUCAAGCAGAGGGACCAUAAUUUGAUGCAGCGUAGGUGGUUUGACUUACUAAAGAAUUAUGGCAUUACCAUUCUUUAUCAUCCGGGCAAGGCGAAUGUGGUCACGGAUGCCUUGAGCAGAAAGGCGGAGAGCAUGGGUAGCUUAGCAUUCUUUCUAGCCGAGAGGAGGCCACUAGCUUUUGACAUUCUAUCUUGGCUAACAGACUUCUGAGGUUGGACAUUUUAGAGCCCAACUAAAUUCUGGCGUGUGUGGUCGCCCAGUCUUCAUUAUUGGGGCAAAUCAAGAACCGGUAGUUCGAUGACCCAUAUUUUGUAGUUCUCAGAGAGACGGUACUUCAGGGAGGUGCCAAGUAGGUUUCUAUUGGCUAGGAUGGUGUGUUGCGGCUUCAGGGUCGUCUAUGUGUUCCUAAUGUUUAUGGUCUCAGGGUGAGGAUUCUAGAAGAGGCCUACAGUUUGAGGUAUUCCAUUCAUCCGGGUGCCAUGAAGAUGUAUCUUGACUUGAGGCAGCAUAAUUGGUGGAGGAGGAUGAAUAAGAACAUCGUGGAGUAUGUAGCUAGAAGUCCAAAUUGCCAGUAGGUCAGGUAUGAGCAGCAGAGGCCAGGUGGCCUACUUCAGCAGAUGCCCAUUCCGGAGUGGAAGUGGGAGCGCAUCACUAUGGAUUUUGUCGUUGGGUUGCCACAGACUUUGCAGAAGGUUGAUUCAGUAUGGGUCAUUGUGGCCAGGUUGACCAAGACGGCUCACUUCAUUCUAGCAGAGACUACUUAUACAUCGAAGAGAUAUGCUCAUAUUUAUAUUCAGGAGAUAGUUAGGUUGAAUGGUGUGCCGCUUUCCAUCAUAUCAGACAAAGUCCCUCAAUUCACUUUCCAUUUCUGGAGAGCCGUUCAGAGUGAAUUGUGGACCCGUUUAGAGCUUAGCACAACAUUCCAUCCUUAGACCGACGGGCAGUCGGAGCAGACAGUUCAUAUUUUAGAGGAUAUGCUUAGAACAUAUGUGAUUGACUUUGGAGGGCAGUGGGAUCAGUUCUUGCCUUUAGCAGAGUUUGCAUAAAACAACUACUAUCAGUCCAUCAUAGAGAAUGCGUCGUAUGAGGCUUUAUAUGGUCGCCGUUUUCGUUCUCCUAUAGGGUGGUUUGAGCAUGGUGAGGCUAAGUUACUUGGUAGAGAUCUGCUACAGCAUGCCUUGUAUAAGGUAAAGUUGAUUCAGGAGAGGCUCUGCACAGCUCGAUCCAGACAGAAGAGUUAUGUGGAUCAAAGGCACGUGAUGUAUCAUUCAUGAUUGGAGAGAAGGUUCUCUUGAAAGUCUCACCAAUGAAGAGCAUUAUGAGGUUUGGGAAGAAAGGCAAGCUAAGCCCAAGGUUUAUUGGUCCCUUUGAGGUGUUGAGGCGAGUUGGGGAGGUUGCCUAUGAGCUUGCUUUACCCCUUUUUAUCGGGAGUUCAUCAAGUUUUCCAUGUUUUAAUUCUUUGGAAGUACCAUGCCAACCUAUCCCACGUGUUGGACUUCAGUACUAUCCGGUUAGAUUAGAGUUUGGGCUAUGAGGAGGAGCUAGUUGCCAUUAUUGAUAGAUAAGAUCUCCAGUAAAGUCUCAAGAUGAUUUCUGCGGUGGGGGUCUAAUGGAAGGGCCAACCGGUUAAGGAGGCGAAUUGAGAGUCCGAAGAGGACAUGCGGAGCAGAUAUCCCCAAUUAUUCAGCACUCCAGGUAAUUUUCUAUAUCCGUUAGAGGACGAAUGUUUGUUUAAGAGGUGGAAAAUAUAACGACCCGACUGGUCGUUUUGCAUUUUAUAACCAUGUUCCCUUAAAUAAAACUCCCAGCACUUGCUUUAGCUAAUCUAUAACUUGCGUGGACGCGGUUGGUUCGGCAGUUGGAAGAGUUUUGAGUUAAAUAUGUCUUUGUUCCUUCGGGAUUCUCUUAAAAGACCAACUUUGACUUCGAUCAACUUUUUGGGAAAAUGGACACGGAUUAGUGAUUUGACAAUCUCGAAGGGUCCGUGGGAAAAUAUGAGACCUGGGCAUACUUUCAGAAUCAAAUUCUGAGGUCCCUAGCCCGAGUAAUGAAUUUUUAUUUGAAAUUGUUAAAUUGAUGUUUUAAAGAAUUAAAGAAAACUAAGUAAUCAUUGAUUCCCUAGGUAUCGGGCUCGAAUUUUUGUUCCGAAGCUUGGUACAUGUCUAUAAUGUUGUUUAAGACUUGCCCCAAAAAAUUUGGUGCCAAUUCGAGUAGUCUUGGGGUGUUUUGACCCGUUAGAAAAUAAUUAGGAGCUUGAAGUUCAAUAGUUUGAUCUAUUUCGUUUUAGGGGGUGAUUCCAAGAUUUACCGUUGUUUUGAGUGUUCCGAGGAUUCGAAUAGGUACACCUCGUGAUUUCAGACUUAUCAGUAUGUUCAGGCGGGGCUCGGGGACCCCCAACGUCAAACGAGCGAGGUUCGAGCGAAGUGGGAAAGUUGAUAAAUACCUUAUGAAUUGUUGCUUCUGUCAUAACCGCAUAUGUGGUUCUUGGACAGCAGAAGUGGGACCGCAGAUGCGGUCAAAACAUCGCAAAAGCAGCCAAGGAAAACCGCAGAAGCGGCCAAGGACCGGAGAAACGGUUUCGCUUAAACGAUUCCUAGACCUCAGAAGCGGUCCAAUCGCCUGAGGCCCGCUCCGCAUAAGCGACUCCAAACCACUGAAGCAAUUAUGCAGAAGCGGGACUUAGGCCGCAGAAGUGGUCCAGCCAUAUUGGCCAGAACAGCAGAAGCGAGCCCCGUGCCAGAGAAUUAGUUUUCGCAGAAACGGUCCUCCACCGUAGAAGCGGAAAUUGUUGGGCAGUGAGUUUAUUUAAUUCUAACUCAAAUGCCAUUUAUUUCAUUUCUACUCCAUACUUGGGAAAUUUGGGGGCUUCUAAAGAGAGAUUUUCAACAUAGCAUCGUAAGGUAAGCAAUUUCCGUUCAUCCUUAGUUUAAAUAAAAGUACAUUAGCUAGAUUAAACACCAAAAAUAAGGUAAAAUAAAAGGGUUAGAGCUAGACCCAUGGUUUUAAUAAAACUAAGAAUUAAUCAUGAAAUUUUGUUAUGAAAUAAAAUAGAAAUCAUAUAUUAUUGAUCCUUAGGUUGUUGAAAAAACUACCUUUGAAAAAUCUCGGAAACUGGGCACGUGGGCCCGGGGUUGAAAUUUAGGAAAUUCAUGUAAAUGGUUGGGGAAUUGCUUAAAUAGAUAGGAAUUGAUAUUGUCAUCCUAUAUCAAUUAAUUCUUACUAUGUUUAACUAGUUUGGGAUUAUUCGGAUUCAAAGUAAGGACUUGGGCUCAUUCUUGGUAAUUGGAGGUGCACUUUGGAGUGAGGUGAGUGUCCUUUCUAACCUUGCAAGAGAGAAUUAUCCUCAUCGGUAUAAUAAUUGAAUAAAUUCCCUUUAUACAGAGGGGCUACAUACGUACUACGUGACGAGAGUCGGUGCAUGGAAACUUAUAUGCUAAGUCCGAGUAGUCUAGGACCCAAAAGCAUUGUUAAACUUCAUGCUUGUUUAAAUAUAAAUAGACCCUCUUUGUGGAAAGUUAAAGAAAACAUUAUUGUUUUGUACUUGCUUAUCCUUAUGAUUGAGUUAUUUCUGCCUAUUAUAAAUUCUCCUCAUUUUACUUGACCCAAGUAAGUAUCAAAUCGACAUCUCAUCUCUAAUUCUUCCAGAUUAGACGGGACACUUACUUGGUACAUAUUAUUUAUGUACUCAUGCUAUACUUCUGUACUUAGAUGUACAGGAUAUGAGGCUGGUGGAUCUGGUUAUCAUUCUGGUGCGCAUCCGUGAGCGGACUUGUGACUUCUACGGUGAGCUGCUUUCCCUCCAUGCUGACUCGCACCCGAAGAAGUCUUUCAUUUAUACUUUUGUUUUCUGUCUAUCCUGAUUCAGAUAGUAGGAUAGUAUGAUAUUCUUUUGUGUAUAUUCUACUAGCUGCCCGUAGCUUGUAACACCAAUUCUGGCACACACAUUAAUAGACUUAUUUUUGGAGUUGUAUUAUUAUGCUACCUGCACUUCUUAUCGAUUUGGUUUUAAAUCCAAUUGGAGUAUUCAUCUCGCUUGAAUUUUGAUGAUGUUUACAUAAAAAAGUUAGAAAUGAUUUAUGCACUUGGCUUUCCUGGCAAUGGUUUCGGGCGCCUUCAUGAGCUAUUAUAAAAAUGGGUCGUGACAACUCUUAAAAUAGCAUCAUUUAUUGUCAUAGUUGUAGUUUUUUUUGUUGUUGUUCUGAACCAUCUCCUAGUAUACUUAAAUUCUAUGAGUAGUCUAAACUCUUAAAUAGUCAUUUUAAUUAAUGCAUAAUUAACUUAAGGUUGGUUUUUAUUCAAGUUGUUUUGUAUUUUUAUCAUUUGUUUAACUCGUUUUCUUAGGUUAGUCAUCCAAAAAAUGCUUCUUGGAUAACUAGGAAGAUUAUUGACUGCAGAAUUCAUGUUAUGGAUGCNNN